rnacentral:rRNA from 1 species
UACGUAGGUGGCAAGCGUUGUCCGGAAUUACUGGGCGUAAAGGGCGUGUAGGCGGCCUUUUAAGUCAGACGUGAAAACCCUGGGCUUAACCCAGGAACUGCGUUUGAAACUGGAAGGCUUGAGGACCGGAGAGGGUAGUGGAAUUCCCAGUGUAGCGGUGAAAUGCGUAGAUAUUGGGAGGAACACCAGUGGCGAAGGCGGCAUCCUGGACCGGUAUUGACGCUGAGGCGCGAAAGCGUGGGGAGCAAACAGG